rnacentral:rRNA from 1 species
UUUAGUUAUUUAAGGUAAUUGAUUUUAAUAAAAUAGUAAAAGGAUUAAAAAUUAUAGUAUAAAUUUAGAAUAAAUAAAUUUAUUGAUAUUAUAUUAAUAGAAUAAUUAAAAUUUUUAAAAGAAAAAUUUAUUUUUUAUACCUUUUGUAUCAGGGUUUUUUAAAUUAUUAUUAUUAAAGAUUAAUAAUCUCAAAAUUAAUUAAGUUAAAAAAAUAUUAAUUUUAUAGUUAAAUUUAUAUUUAAAAUAUUUUUUUAAAAAUGAAAAGUUAAGUGUAAUUAAUAAUUUUUAGUUUUUUUAGAAAUAAAUUUAAUUUAUAUACUAACAAAAUUAUGAGUUAAUAUAAUUUAUAAAAUAAUUUUAGUAUAAAAAUAUUAUGGGAUAAGCUUUAAUUUUUUUUUAUAAAUUAAUAUAAAUUAUUGUUAAAAAUAUAAUAUUAAAAUUUUAUAUAAUUAAUAAAUAAGUAAUAUUUUAUAUAUAUAUAUAUAUAUAUAUAUAUAUAUAUUUUAAUAAAUUAUAAAAAAAUUAUUUUUAAUAAGAAUAAAUUAAGUAUAAUGAAAAAAUUAGUAGAUGGAAAUUUAUUAGAUAAGUAUAUGUAAUAAAAUUAAAUAAAAGAAUUAGGCAAAAUUUAUGUUCAAAUGUUUAACAAAAACAUUGUUUUUUGGAGAAAAAUUUAAAAUAUAAUCUGCUCUAUGAAAAUUUAAAUGGCUGCAGUAUAUUAACUGUACUAAGGUAGCAUAAUCAUUUGUUUUUUAAUUGAAAGCUGGAAUGAAAGAUUGAAUGAAAUAUAAACUUUUUUUAUAUAAGAAAUUAAAUUUAUUAUUUAAAUAAAAAAAUUUAAAUAUAUUAAAUAGACGAUAAGACCCUAUAAAAUUUUAUAAUAUCUUAAUAAUUAAAAUUUUUAAUUAUUAAAAAUAUUAUUUUAUUGGGAGGAUAGAAAAAUUUUUAACUUUUUUUUAUAAAAAAAAUUAAUAAAUUUAUAAAAGAACCAUUAUUAAUGAUUUAAAAAUAAAUUACUUUAGGGAUAACAGCUUAAUGUCUUUAGAUAGUUCAAAUUGAAAAAGAUGUUUAAGACCUCGAUGUUGAAUUAAAGUAAAUUAUUAAUGUAAAAAUUAAUUAAAUUUGAUCUGUUCGAUCAUUAAAACUUUACAUGAUUUGAGUUCAGAUCGGUGUGAGCCAGAUCGGAUUUUAUCUUUUAAUAAAUAAAAUUUUUUUGUACGAGAGGACUUUAAAUUAAAAAUUAAUUUUUUAAGAUAAAUAAAUUAGAUAAUUAA